UACGUAGGGGGCUAGCGUUGUCCGGAAUCAUUGGGCGUAAAGCGCGUGUAGGCGGUUCGGUAAGUCCGCUGUGAAAGUCGGGGGCUCAACCCUCGAAAGCCGGCCGAUACUGUCGGACUAGAGUCCGGAAGAGGCAAGUGGAAUUCCCGGUGUAGCGGUGAAAUGCGCAGAUAUCGGGAGGAACACCAAUGGCGAAGGCAGCUUGACUGGACCGGUACUGACGCUGGAGGCGCGAAAG
rnacentral:rRNA from 1 species